rnacentral:rRNA from 1 species
AGCGAACGCUGGCGGCAGGCUUAACACAUGCAAGGCGAACGCCCCGCAAGGGGAGUGGCAGACGGGUGAGUAACACGUGGGAACGUACCCUUUGGUUCGGAAUAACUUGGGGAAACUCAAGCUAAUACCGGAUAAGCCCUUAUGGGGAAAGGUUUACUGCCGAAGGAUCGGCCCGCGUCUGAGAGCUAGUUGGUGAGGUAAUGGCUCACCAAGGCGACGAUCAGUAGCUGGUCUGAGAGGAUGAUCAGCCACACUGAGACUGAGACGCGGCCCAGACUCCUACGGGAGGCAGCAGUGGGGAAUAUUGGACAAUGGGGGCAACCCUGAUCCAGCCAUGCCGCGUGAGUGAUGAAGGCCUUAGGGUUGUAAAGCUCUUUUACCCGGGACGAUAAUGACUGUACCGGGAGAAUAAGCCCCGGCUAACUUCGUGCCAGCAGCCGCAGUAA